rnacentral:rRNA from 1 species
ACGGAAGGCAGCAGUGGGGAAUAUUGCGCAAUGGGGGAAACCCUGACGCAGCGACGCCGCGUGAAGGAAGAAGGUCUUCGGAUUGUAAACUUCUGUCUUAUGGGACGAAGAAUGACGGUACCAUAGGAGGAAGACACGGCUAACUACGUGCCAGCAGCCGCGGUAAUACGUAGGUGGCAAGCGUUAUCCGGAUUUACUGGGUGUAAAGGGCGUGUAGGCGGGAUAGCAAGUCAGAUGUGAAAUACCGAGGCUUAACUUCGGGGCUGCAUUUGAAACUACUGUUCUUGAGUGUCGGAGAGGAAAGCGGAAUUCCUAGUGUAGCGGUGAAAUGCGUAGAUAUUAGGAGGAACACCGGUGGCGAAGGCGGCUUUCUGGACGAUAACUGACGCUGAGGCGCGAAAGCGUGGGUAGCAAACAGGAUUAGAUACCCUGGUA